rnacentral:snoRNA from 1 species
UUACAUGAUGAAUCUUGUUAUUCACACUGUUUGAUCCUGCACGCCAUGUGUUUGGAAAUGAACAUGUUACAAAAAAAAUCUGAUUUAAUGAGGUUGGUA